UCAGGGACAAGUUAUGUUACAAAGGUGGUGGAUCCAUCAAGAGCAUUGAGCUCAAGUCGCCGGCGAAACCCAAGGAAUCGGAGAAGAAACCCGACAAACCUAAAGAAGCCGAGAAGCCGAAAGAAGCUGAGAAGAAGCCGGAAAAACCCAAAGAAGCUGAGAAGAAGCCGGAAAAACCCAAAGAUCCUGAGAAGAAGCCGGAAAAACCCAAAGAUCCUGCUCCUGAGAAGAAGCCGGAAAAACCCAAAGAACCUGCUCCUGGGAAGAGACCGCCAAAGCCCAAAGACGGUGGUGAGACGAAACCGGAUAUACCUAGAGAGGUGGCGUCGCAGCAGAAUGUUGCGGCACCUUCUCCUUUACCGCCGAUGACGUAUGCAGUUGGGUAUACUUGCUCCGAGGGUUAUUAUAAUGGUUAUGGUGGAGGACCUAGCUAUUAUGGUGGACCACCCCAACAACCGUUCCCAUAUUACGAGACUUACGGUAGGCCUGUUUAUGACAGCUGGGGUGGCGGCGGCGGUGGCUACUACAGGUACGGCGGCCGUACCGGUGAAUGUUUUAGUGAAGAAAACCCUCAAGGUUGCUCGAUCAUGUAAAAAAACCGCGGGAAUUCGUUAUACUAUAAUGGUAAUAAUAAAUUCUCUUGUCUACUGGUGUAUGAAUCUGGGGGAGUCAUUUUGUGGAUUUUUAUUUAUUUCUAGUUUUAUUGAGUUUAUAAAAGUCGGUAAAGAUCAUUAACAAGGUUGGUGGCGUUGGUGGUGGCGGCGACAACGGCGGCGGUAGUGGUGGUGUGCUCCAGGCUUGCAAAAAGUUUGUUUACCAUAGUUUUAAAUUUUAAUAAAUAAAAAUGAUGUAUCUUUUUAUCUGUCAGAGUCUUUUGUUUUUAAUUAUAUGAAGGAAUUCAUUUGACAACAAAAUAAUCAUGGAAGGAACCUUCUCAAAUGUAAACUUAGAUUAUAAUAAUGUAGUAUGCUUAUUAAUUUUACAAUCACCAAGUCUAAAUGAAGUAUUUUUUAUUAUUUUAAUUUUCUAUUUUUGUCUUUUAAUGAGAAUUAAUAAUUUAAUUCUAUUGUUAAUUAUUGUCAUUAUAGGAAAAUGUAGAUUGGAGUGCCUAGAGUUUUAUUUAAGGGUUAAAAGAGGGAUUAUGAACCAAGAUCACCUUUGUUUUUACCCUUGUAAAGUUCAUGACUGCCUUCUUAACGAUUUCACCUCUAAAAUUUGAAAUGCAAAGAGUGUUAUAUUACACCUAACACUUAUCGAUAUUUUAAGUUAGCAUUUUAAUUUAUCAAGUAUUACUCAAUUAGAACUAACUUCAUUUUUCAAAAAUACAAGAGAGCAAGUUUUGAUAAUUAAAACACGACAAUGAACUUUUGAAUUUUUGUAAAGUAGAGGGAAAAUUUCGUAAUUAUACCUUAUCUUUAAGAAGCUUUGCAAAAUGUAUGAUAAUAAUAUAUAUAGAGACAUAGUGGUUCAAAAACAAAAAGCCAAAUCAAUUGGAUAAUAAUGGUACCAAAGCAUCCACGAGACAAUGUCACUAACGGUGGGCGCCUCCCUAUGGUUAUCCGGUCCCCAAACAGGCGGGCGAUGGCGUCAAAAUUACCAAUCUAGCGCUUAUCCUUAUAUAGAGUAGGCAACCUAGCUUAACCUAGACACUCUUAGUUUCCUCCCAUGGUUUCAAAUCUUAAUACACUCCAAACUUUAAUUAUUGAGAUAGAAAUCGAGUUUGAUUUGAAUUUUGAUUAAGUUGAUUUAAUUUUUUUUAAUUGAAUAAUAAUAAAUUUUGAUUUUUAUAUAUAUUGUUAUAAUGCAAUUGAGAAUUGUUUAGUACGAUAAUUUACACUAUAAGAAUGCGAAGAGCUACUGAAAUGGUUGCGAUUUAUAUUGUGAAAGUGUGAAAAGUCAUUGUUCUUGGUGAUUGGAGGAUGUCGAGUUAGUAUAUGUAAAGGAGAGAAUUUUGCUUAAUUUAAGAAUAUUUUUCAAAAGUGCUUUUAAGGAAAAAAAAAUACUUAUGAGAAGAAGUUAAAAUUUACAAUUUAAAAAAAAAAAAGAUUUUUUGGGUCAAUUUUUUAUUUGGAAUAAGCAUUUUUUUUUCUCAAAAAAUUAAGAAUACUUUUGUCCCAAAUUUUUUUUUUAAAAGCAAUACAAAAAUGACCUUAAAUUGGCACAGUAUAUUUAAUCAAUUUUGGUUUGAGCAGGUUCAGCAAUUUUUUUUUAUUAUAUGUUUGAUUUUGUUGGUGUAAAAUAAAUCUUAAUUAUUUGUGUUUCGGUUCUUUUAAAAUGAUAUAAAAGUUUUAUUAUUUAAAAAUAUUUAAUUUAGUGAAAUUUAAUUGAGUAUUGAUAUAAAUAAAUGAUAUUAAAAUAUAUACCAAAUAUUUACAAAUCAAACUGAAAGUUUUGAAAAUAUUUUAUUUCAUAUUUAGAAUUUAAUAAAAUAUUCACCACUGAAGUACCCAAGUUUAAUAUUUAUUUAAAGGGAGUAAUUAAUAUUGAAUUUAUUUAAAUGGAAAAUUGGUGAUAUACUUCAAGACUGGUUUCUAAAUAUAUAUUAUAAAUUUUGAUUUUGAUUCCAUGAUUUUGAUGAAAAAUAUGCAUUAAGUUUGAUAUAUUAAUAUUAAUGGCAAAAAAAUCAUAUUUAAAACAUAAUUUAGAAAACGAGAUUUACUUAGGAAAAUACUUAAAAUUUUUAUAUAUGCUUUGAUGACGGAUUUUUAGUAAAACUUUCUAAAAUUUAAUAUUAUUUUAAAUAAGAAUUAAUUAUAAACAUUUUAAAUAAAUAAGCUUAAAUUCACUUUAAGGUAAGCUUUUAAUUUAUAUAUAUAAGGGAUGGUUUGGUAAUACUUUUGAAAAGUGAUUUUCAAAAGUAUUGUAAAAAAAUAUUUUCGGAAAGUUUAGUUUAAAAUUUGAGUGUUUAACAUUGCUAUCAAAAAAUAUUUUUGAGAAAUAAAAUGUCUAUUUUAGACAUGUUAUUAUUAAAGAAUAAAUAUGUAUUUAAAUAAUAUUUAAAUUAGUUAAUAUUAUUAUAUUUUAGUAAGAAUAUAAAAAAAUUAUUAUAAUUUGUUAAUUUUUUAAUAUAUGAAAUAUAAAUUUUAAAUAUUUUUAAAUAAUAAAUAUUAAUUAUUUAUAAAAUUUAAAGAGAAUAUAUAAACUAUAUUUUAAAUAUUUAAAUAUAAUCAUUAAAUAUUUAUAAUUAAUAUUUUAAAAAAUAUUUUUUAAUUAAUAAUUUUAAUAAAUUUGUACUAAAAGAAAAAUACUAUGUUAUUAUAGUGGUGAAAAAUUAGUAAGUAAAAGUCUUUUCGGAUAGUAAAAAGUUAAAAAUUUUAACUUUUACUUUUUAGAAAAGCCAAAUAUUAUUAAGCAUUUCAGAACAGUAGCUAAGCCUAAGUAUCAGCCUUUCGCUAUCUCAGUACUAUUUUCUAACACUUUUGCAUUUGCUUCUUUCUUUUUCACACCAGAUCUGGGGAUCCAAGCUAUGGCUGAAAAGGUUCCUAAAAUCUCAUCCUUUUUCUCUUCAACAUUUAAAUCCGAUGCCCAUUUCUUUUUCUUUUUUUAAUUUCUUUUAUUGUUUUUCAUGCUCCUCUGUUUCCAAUUCCUCUUUGUCUCUGUUAACCAGAUUCGUUAGCUAAUGCUAAUAAUUCAUGUAAAGUUUUUCUUUUGUAGGUGACGAUAAUGGUGCUGAAGGUCGACCUUCAGUGCAGGAAAUGUUACAAGAAGGUCAAGAAAGUGCUCUGUAAAUUCCCUCGUGAGUUUUCUAUUUUUGACUUUUUUUUUCAUGGAUUUCUGCAUAUUAUUUGUAACAUUUUUAAUUAUUUGUUCAUUGAGUUUAACGUUGAGAAAUGGUGUCUGAGUUUAUUUUUCUUUUUUCUUUUUUUGUGAACAAGAGAAAUACGAGACCAGAUAUACGAUGAAAAGACUAAUACGGUGACCAUCAAGGUGGUAUGCUGUAGCCCGGAGAAGAUCAGGGACAAGUUAUGUUACAAAGGUGGUGGAUCCAUCAAGAGCAUUGAGCUCAAGUCGCCGGCGAAGCCCAAGGAACCGGAGAAGAAACCCGACAAACCUAAAGAAGCCGAGAAGUCGAAAGAAGCUGGGAAGAAACCGCCAAAGCCCAAAGACGGUGGUGAGACGAAACCGGAUAUACCUAGAGAGGUGGCGUCGCAGCAGAAGGUUGCGGCACCUGCUCCUUUACCGCCGAUGACGUAUGCAGUUGGGUAUAAUUGCUCCGAGGGUUAUUAUAAUGGCUAUGGUGGAGGACCUACCUAUUAUGGUGGACCACCCCAACAACCGUUCCCAUGUUACGAGACUUACGGUAGGCCUGUUUAUGACAGCUGGGGCGGCGGCGGCGGAUACUACCGGUACGGCGGCCGUACCGGUGAUUGUGUUAGUGAAGAAAACCCACAAGGUUGCUCGAUC
rnacentral:lncRNA from 1 species